AAACCUGGGGUGUUAUUGGAAAAACACAAACUAAAAAUAAACAAACCAAAU
rnacentral:misc_RNA from 1 species